UACAGAGGGUGCAAGCGUUGUUCGGAUUCAUUGGGCGUAAAGGGUGCGUAGGCGGCGCGGUAAGUCGGGUGUGAAAUCUCGGGGCUUAACUCCGAAACUGCAUUCGAUACUGCCGUGCCUUGAGGACUGGGAGAGGAGACUGGAAUUUACGGUGUAGCGGUGAAAUGCGUAGAUAUCGAUAAGGAAGACCGUGGCGAAGGCGG
rnacentral:rRNA from 1 species